rnacentral:rRNA from 1 species
UACGAAGGGGGCUAGCGUUGCUCGGAAUUACUGGGCGUAAAGGGCGCGUAGGCGGCACUGUUAGUCAGGCGUGAAAUUCCUGGGCUCAACCUGGGGACUGCGCUUGAUACGGCAGAGCUUGAGGAUGGAAGAGGGUCGCGGAAUUCCCAGUGUAGAGGUGAAAUUCGUAGAUAUUGGGAAGAACACCGGUGGCGAAGGCGGCUUACUGGUCCGGUUCUGACGCUGAGGCGCGAAAGCGUGGGGAGCAAACAGG